AUAUUAUGCCUUUAGAGAGAAGUGCAUCUUUACGGAUUAAGAUUAUGAUUAUAAUAAUGUAAAAUUACUCUCUAUAAUGCUGAUAAAUUGUCUCUGCAGUUUCAACAUCAACCACUACUGAACAAACUACUUCAACAACCAUGAAAACCUGUGAGUAAUUGAGUUUGUAAAUCAGUUAUUCUUACUCCAUUCUGAAUGUCCUGAAAACGACAAUCAUUCUUUUAAGCUCAUGAGUAUUUGUCGAUCAUUUACUAUACAUACGGUACAUCACCACACAUUUCACAAUGUCUUUUCACCAGCAUUAACUGUAAUGUCCACUUCUGAGAGUACAACAUACAGUAAAACUGCAGACCUCCAAACCAAGAUAAACCCACCAAUCAGUACAGCAAAGGAAACCAUGAAUACAUUGUUAAUAGUGCUGGUCUCCAUUGGUGUUGCUGGAAGUUUGUCUGGACUCAUGGGACUCUAAUAGUUACUUUAGUAAAGGUAAAAAGGAAACGUAAACGUAGUUUGUUUUUUUUUUUUUUUAUGCAUUCAAUUCAGUAGUCUGUGAUAUUUUGUUUUUCUUUUAGCAAAAAAUAAUUUUGUAGUCAAGUAGCUGUGUGUGUAGAUGUUUAGCUUCCUAUCUGAUAUAUGCAUGCAUGAAAGGUGUCAUAAAUAUCAAUAUUUGAUUCUUAGCAUUAAAAUGAGAUCAAUAAAAACAGAUGUGCCCAUUCAAGAAACUGGUAUAGUGAGUAUCUUUGCAUUUAUAAUCUUUAAAAUCAUGAAUUAACAAAUAUAUUUCUAAUAUAUCAUAGCAAAUACGAAUGGCUGAAAGAAACUUGACCUAUAUUACUGGUUAUGUUAUUUAGAGUUGUAAGUAGCUGUGUGUGUAGAUGUUUUAGCUUCCUAUCUGAUAUAUGCAUGCAUGAAAGGUGUCAUAAAUAUCAAUAUUUGAUUCUUAGCAUUAAAAUGAGAUCAAUAAAAACAGAUGUGCCCAUUCAAGAAACUGGUAUAGUGAGUAUCUUUGCAUUUAUAAUCUUUAAAAUCAUGAAUUAACAAAUAUAUUUCUAAUAUAUCAUAGCAAAUACGAAUGGCUGAAAGAAACUUGACCUAUAUUACUGGUUAUGUUAUUUAGAGUUGUUCUGGAUCUGCAGAGAUGUAUUCUCUGAUCACUUCUGUACCAGAAACAUCUCAGCCCAUAUCUGCAGGUAAGAAAACAUACUUCUCAGGAAAUGAUCUCAGAUCAAUUAAAGACAUAGUAGCUCACCACCAACUGAUACUUAUAGUUAUAGGAACAUUGUUCAGAGACCACAGUUUCUCACAUUUCCCCUUCAAGUCUUCAGCAGAUCCAUAUUAUUAGCCACAUCUUCUCUUAAAGGAACAGUUCACACCAAACUGAAAAUCAUUAACCAUAAACGUCUCAUAAAAGUAGUGCAAACAACUUAAGUUUUAUAUUCCAAGUCUUCAGAAGUCAUAUGAAAAUCGUUUCCCUUUAUUGUGUAGAUUGCUGCAGUGAUGAUGUAUUUUUGUAGGCCAAUCCAGAAGUCAGAAUUUAUUUAAUUUUAUUUUCAUUUUGAAGCCUAUAAUCCCCAGAAGUAAAAAGCUAUAAACGUAGGCUAUAAACAAGAUAUACC
rnacentral:lncRNA from 1 species